rnacentral:lncRNA from 10 species
GGGGACUGUCACCUAAUCCUCUGCUCACCCCUGCUGCAGCUGGGGACAUUUUGGCUGCUUCCAGAGGCAGCUGCCCCAUCCUGUGUUUCCUGCCCCUGCCCCGCCCCAGCCCAGCGUCCUUUGCCUGGUAUUUGGCCAACUCCCCAGCCACAGAUGUGGGCGUCUCCUGAGAGGCACCUGCAACCACAAUUCUAGUAGCAGGGGGUGGGAGACACUGCUUUCAGCAGGCACUGUUGUCCUUUGAGUAAGCUGCCCUGUGUAGGUGACCCUGACUGAUGAACACAUCUGGGGAUGUGACACACCCCUUGCCUCCCAUUCUCACCCAUGUGGAACACACACUAUCACCACCCAAGCUCACAAUGCCUUUCUUGCCGACAGAGUGGCAAAAAACAGUCUCCAUAAAGACCUGAUAAAGAGACAGGUGGUCACAGGGGAUUAGCCCUGCGGUACAGAGAUUCCAUCUAGCAAAGGAGAUCAUGUAAAGGACCCACCUCCUUCCACAACCUGAUCGCCAGGUUUGCCCAUGCCCAGCCCCUCUGGGUGGGAGACUUGUUUCUCCUUGUCUAUCCCUGCUGCCACCUUGUGGUCACAGAUGAUAGUACCGUCUUCCCAUCCUACUCUCCUAAACACACACGUGCACACAUACACACACACCUGAUGACACCUUAAUAGAUCCUUUUGAUGUUCCUUUUUAAAAAAAAUUUUUUUGAGACCAAGUCUCGCUCUGGCGCCCAGACUGGAGUGCAGUGGCAUGAUCUCGGCUCACUGCAACCUCCGCCUCCCGGGUUCAAGCGAUUCUCCUGCCUCAACCUCUGGAG